rnacentral:rRNA from 1 species
GACGGGGGGGCAAGUGUUCUUCGGAAUGACUGGGCGUAAAGGGCACGUAGGCGGUGAAUCGGGUUGAAAGUGAAAGUCGCCAAAAAGUGGCGGAAUGCUCUCGAAACCAAUUCACUUGAGUGAGACAGAGGAGAGUGGAAUUUCGUGUGUAGGGGUGAAAUCCAUAGAUCUACGAAGGAACGCCAAAAGCGAAGGCAGCUCUCUGGGUCCCUACUGAUGCUGGGGUGCGAAAGCAUGGGGAGCGAACAAG